AUUACAUUCUGCAGGAAAGAUGUUCUCCUGGACCUGCAUGAGCGACCCUGAUUUAAUGCACUAAAAAGGUUCUUCCUAAUGAGGGCAAUGGAUUGCAGUCUGUCCGUGUUGCCAUGGCGAUGCAGUUUGCAGUCAAUGGAAGUGUGUGGCAGUCAGACUGAAGCAGCAGCAGGGCGCGAGACAGACAGAGACUAAUGCUGGAAACAAAUCAAACCGAGCGCUGAAAACUGCUGCGAUACUCAAAGCGCUACUCAUUCUGAUUAAGCAAGGAUGAAGCCAAAUAUACUGGUCUACAGAGGAAGAUUAAUCCACGUGUGUAAGUUGGUGAAUCUGUUCAUUAGUGUUCACACACCUGUGUCCAUGAAGAGCAUAUCUUCAGAAGAAAUGAUCUGUCAAGGAUACAAAGAAAAAUCAAGGGAUUUUUCUCCUGAGCUACGAGAGAGCAACCUAUAAGCAAUGAAGGUGUCCUUUGUGUAAUUUCCAGCAAUAUGAAAUGCUGUGACACAUUAUAGAGCGUGAAGCUGAGCUGAAGAACUCUUUGUUGUAUUGGAUGGUGUUCACACUAAAUUAAACUGCUGUCGAUGCAGAACUCAAUGUUAAAUUUGGCUCAUCGCAGCUCAUCACAGAUAUAAUAGCCCUCUGUAUGCCAGUAUGUAACUCUUAAAUGCAUGCUUCAUUCAAAAAUGAAAAUUGUCAUCUAUUUACUCACCAUAAUGUUGGUCUUAACCUGUACGAUUUGCUUUCUUCUGUGGAACAUAAGAGAUGUUGGGCAUGAAUGUUUAAGCUGUUGAUUUGCACAAUACAGAAGUUAAUGAGAACUUUAAAGCUCCAAAAAUACAAAGUUCUCAAAUCUCACACCUGUAUGCAAUUCUAACUAAAUUAAAUCUGACAACGAAUCUGUAAUAUGGUUUCUUAUAAA